rnacentral:lncRNA from 10 species
UGACCACUUGUCACACUUCCAUCAAACAGUACCUGCCCCUUAGGUGUGCUAGGGAAUAAAUGAAAUGCCUGGGACAUCAUCGUUAAGUGGCAUCUGAUGCAUAAGCAGUGCCCUAGGAAUGGGGUUGCCUGCCUUGGUCUCUAAAGGAUGGGUUCAAAAGGCAAGAGCAGCACACAAGAAGAUAGCUUCAAGCAGGAGAUAAAGCUUGGCCCAGGGCCCAAAGGGGAUACGACCCUUCAGGUUGGCCCUGACCUCUGGGUUGGAUUACCAGUGACACAAUGAACAUUUCAUUAUGAGGCCAUCCCUUGAGCAAACUGACAUGCUGAAAGCUGCCCUAUGGAGAGGCUCAUGUGGCAAGGAACAGAGGGUGGCUUCUGGCCAACACCCAGUGAGGAACUCAGGCCCUCAGUCAAACAGCCUGCAAGGAACUGAACCCUGCCAAUAACCGAGCCAUCCCGUGAGGCCGUUACUGCAAACAAGCUGAAAAUCCUGCUUUGUUUCUUUUGGACACAACAUGCUUUCCUUCAGCUUCAGUAGACGAUGAGGCCAGCACCACAUGGGCUAGAUGUACAUGAGAUGUGAGCAACCACACUUCCCCUCUGACGGGGACAGACAGCAUCACAGGACAUGAAGUUCUAAGAGGUUCAGUGACUUGUCUAAGAUUAAACAGCUAUGAAUGGAGAACUGGAGGCAAAUGCCUCAUCAUCUCUCACCUGGGCAACUGCAACAAUGAGCAGUUUGUGUCUGUGCCUGCAUCCAUCCUUCCAUCCUGUACUCCAGCAGCAGCCAGGGUGGUCUUUCAAAAAUGCAAAGCUGAUAAUGUUACUCCCCUGCUGUAAACCUUCCAGCGGUUUCCUAUUGCCUUCAGAAUAAAAUACGAAUCAUCUGGC